AUUGAACGCUGGCGGCAUGCCUAACACAUGCAAGUCGAACGGUAACAGGAAACAGCUUGCUGUUUCGCUGACGAGGGGCGGACGGGUGUGUAAUGUCUGGGAAACUGCCUGAUGGAGGGGGAUAACUACUGGAAACGGUAGCUAAUACCGCAUAACGUCGCAAGCCCAAAGAGGGGGACCUUCGGGCCGCUUGCCAUCGGAUGUGCCCAGAUGGGAUUAGCUAGUAGGUAGGGUAACGGCUUACCUAGGCGACGAUCCGUAGCGGGUCUGAGAGGAUGACCAGCCACACUGGAACUGAGACACGGUCCAGACUCCUACGGGAGGCAGCAGUGGGGAAUCUUGCACAAUGGGCGAAAGCCUGAUGGAGCAACGCCGCGUGUAUGAUGAAGGUCUUCGGAUCGUAAAGCUCUUUCAGUAGGGAAGAAGGGAGUUAAGUUAAACUCUUCACGCAUUGACGUUACCCAAAGAGAAAGCCACGGCUAACUACGUG
rnacentral:rRNA from 1 species